rnacentral:rRNA from 1 species
AGUGAACGCUGGCGGUAGGCCUAACACAUGCAAGUCGAACGGCAGCACAGUAAGAGCUUGCUCUUACGGGUGGCGAGUGGCGGACGGGUGAGGAAUACAUCGGAAUCUACUUUUUCGUGGGGGAUAACGUAGGGAAACUUACGCUAAUACCGCAUACGACCUACGGGUGAAAGCAGGGGAUCUUCGGACCUUGCGCGAUUGAAUGAGCCGAUGUCGGAUUAGCUAGUUGGCGGGGUAAAGGCCGACCAAGGCGACGAUCCGUAGCUGGUCUGAGAGGGUGAUCGGCCACACUGGAACUGAGACACGGUCCAGACUCCUACGGGAGGCAGCAGUGGGGAAUAUUGGGCAAUGGGCGCAAGCCUGAUCCAGCCAUACCGCGUGGGUGAAGAAGGCCUUCGGGUUGUAAAGCCCUUUUGUUAGGAAAGAAAAGCAGCAGAUUAAUACCCCGCUGUUCUGACGGUACCCAAAGAAUAAGCACCGGCUAACUUCGUG